rnacentral:rRNA from 1 species
UACAGAGGGUGCGAGCGUUGUCCGGAAUCACUGGGCGUAAAGGGCGCGUAGGUGGCCACCAUAAGGCCGCGGUGAAAGUCUGGGGCUCAACCCCGGAUCGGCCGCGGCGACUGUGGGGCUUGGGUACCGUAGAGGCAGAUGGAAUUCCGGGUGUAGCGGUGGAAUGCGUAGAGAUCGGGUGGAACACCAGCGGCGAAGGCGGCAUCCUGGCCCUGUACUGACGCUGAGGCGCGAUAGCGUGGGGAGCAAACGGG